rnacentral:rRNA from 1 species
UACGUAGGGUCCGAGCGUUGUCCGGAAUCAUUGGGCGUAAAGAGCUCGUAGGCGGCUUGUCGCGUCGGAUGUGAAAGCCCGGGGCUUAACUCCGGGUCUGCAUUCGAUACGGGCAGGCUAGAGUUCGGUAGGGGAGAUCGGAAUUCCUGGUGUAGCGGUGAAAUGCGCAGAUAUCAGGAGGAACACCAAUGGCGAAGGCAGCUCGCUGGGACGGUACUGACGCUGAGGCGCGAAAGCGUGGGGAGCAAACAGG